rnacentral:lncRNA from 1 species
UGAAGACAGUGAUAUUUCAACUGAAGAGGAACCUCUUUUCCAACACAGACCUAAUGGUGAAAACAGAAUAAAUAUAAUAAGGAACAUUAACACGUAUGCCAGAACAAAGACUCUUGCUCAGGGCUUUCUGGAUAUGGCACUCUUCACUGCUAAUGCCUCACAAAUGAAACACCUUCUGCAACAAGGAACUGAUGCACAGUUUUAUUACUUUCUUUUUGUCCUUCUGAGUUCACCUGAAGAAUAAUAUUGUGACAGGACUAAUUCUGGUCAUCACAGCUGUCAAUGUCUUCAUCACUGCCUUCUGGUUUUCUCCUCUUCAGCUGACCCCUGAAGACCAAGAUCCUGCAGCUACAGGAACCAUUGCAGUAUAUUAGCAGUAUCAUUACUAUGUGCAAAGUGCUCAAAGGGUGAAAUAUAUUACAGUAGACUUUUACACAGGAUUAUAAGCCUUAUAUCCAAAAACAAAUCAAAAUUAAACUGACUCUUUUUGGAUAGGGAAAAUCUUGGUCUUCAAGCAGGCAUGUUGCCCCUGCUCAGUUACACUACUUAUAACCAAGUAGAAGUCACUAAUCUCAGAUUAAGUCUCUUU